AGAGUUUGAUCAUGGCUCAGAUUGAACGCUGGCGGAAUGCUUUACACAUGCAAGUCGAGCGGCAGCGCGGGGCAACCUGGCGGCGAGCGGCGAACGGGUGAGUAGUGCAUCGGAACAUGUCCUGUCGUGGGGGAUAGCCCGGCGAAAGCCGGAUUAAUACCGCAUACGUCCGAGAGGAGAAAGUGGGGGACCCGCAAGGGCCUCACGCGAUUGGAUUGGCCGAUGUCCGAUUAGCUAGUUGGUGGGGUAAAGGCCUACCAAGGCGAUGAUCGGUAGCUGGUCUGAGAGGAUGAUCAGCCACACUGGGACUGAGACACGGCCCAGACUCCUACGGGAGGCAGCAGUGGGGGAUUUUGGACAAUGGGGGCAACCCUGAUCCAGCCAUUCCGCGUGGGUGAAGAAGGCCUUC
rnacentral:rRNA from 1 species